AGAGGAGAGUGAAGGUGGUGACAGAGGAGAGUGAAGGUGGUGACAGAGGAGGUGUAGAGGAGAAUGAAGGUGGUGACAGAGGAGGUGCAGAGGAGAGUGAAGGAGGUGACAGAGGAGGUGCAGAGCUUGGGCAGGAGAAAGGAGGAGGUGACAGUGGGUCAGAUGAGCAAAGAGAGAAAGGCUGCACAUGGAUGAGCAGGUUCAACACAAUAAACACCAACAGCAGACACGUGGUGUGUGUGCGGGUGUCUGCCUCUUAUAACCACAGUGAUUCUCCUGUGGUUUGAAAUCUCACGUGAUCUUGUGACGUGAUCACGAGUCCAAACACUAACAGGUCACCUCAACAAGAACAGAUUCAAUCCUAAUGAUUUAGUUACCCUAGAAACAUGAUGUGGUUGACAGGACAUGUUAGACUGUUGUAAACGUCACAGCCACACAGUCACACUUUCUGAGUGUUUUUAAUAUGAUGGAUGUGAAACACUGAGUGAUGCUUCAUCACAUUCACACUCACAGCUCCUCUGUCAGUGUCUCAGCUAUGCUGGCAGCCUGGAGUCACCUGUAACAUGACUGUGGGCUGAUGCUGAACUCUGACUCUUAUAUGUGUGUUAUUAACCUCAGAGCAAUAAUAACAACAAUAAUUUCAUAAAAACAUGAUUUUUCCUCUCAUGAUGAAUGAUUAUAGUCAGAGGGGACUCCAAA